rnacentral:rRNA from 1 species
AUUCCAGCUCCAAUAGCGUAUAUUAAAGUUGUUGCAGUUAAAAAGCUCGUAGUCGGAUUUCGGGGCCUGCCGAGCGGUCUGCCGAUGGGUAUGCACUGUUCGGCGCGUCCUUCUUUCCGGAGACUAAUUCUACUCUUAACUGAGCGGAAUUGGGAGACGGAUCGUUUACUUUGAAAAAAUCAGAGUGUUUCAAGCAGGCAGCUCGCUCUUGCAUGGAUUAGCAUGGGAUAAUGAAAUAGGACUCUGGUGCUAUUUUGUUGGUUUCGAACACCGGAGUAAUGAUUAACAGGGACAGUCGGGGGCAUUUGUAUUCAAACGACAGAGGUGAAAUUCUUGGACCGUUUGAAGACAAACUACUGCGAAAGCAUUUGCCAAGAAUGUUUUCAUCA